ensembl:lncRNA
GGCGUAUUGAUAAACUCCACUACAAUCUCUUCAUGUCCUGGGGAAAAUCCAUAAAAAUGUCUGCUUAAGAAACAUAUAUAUAUAUAUUUUUCAUUUCUAGUUUCCAGACCAAUGUUCUAUGCAUGAGCAAGUAAAAUAUGUACAUGUAUAAUAUAAUCCAUAUGGCUCCUAUUCCCACCAGCCUGUGGAAAACCAAUCCCCACACACAGACUGCAUCGAUUACACCGUACCCCCCUAAAGGAAAAGCUCUCACCCUGGAAAUAUCUCCCAGGAUGCAGAUUUAGCAAAAACACGGCGAUAUUUUAUUACCGCGUUUAGUCUGAGGCUAGAUACGGCGGGGAUUUCAUCUGCCUUCUCUCGUCUCGAGGAGAAAAUGCUGCAGAUCUCAGUAGAAUCGCACGAUCGCUAAAGUGAGCAUGCUAUAAAUAAGGAAUAAAACACUUCAAGAAACGCCGUUUUUGUACUCUUACAGGAAACUAAUCGGCGACGGAAUGGUCUGACGAAGCAGAGUUACUGUCACCAUUCUGAAGUUGGUUAUUUCUCUGUAACAUCACAUCCGGAAGCGUUUUAAUCCUCCUACAGCACAGUAAUUUGCCAAUUCGUUUGAAGUUUUUCGUUAAUUAAGGUAUGAUGUUCUACAUCUUAUCCAUUUACAGGUAUGUAUAACAUUCUGGAACGUAUACGAGAGACGUUAGUUAUCAUCAGUCUGUCUCUUUUAUAGAUUACAAUGAGAGUUGGUUAAAAGGACAGCCUUAGCUGCAGAAACUGGCAUCUUAGUUAGCUGCAGAACUGGCAGGUUAGUUAGCUGCAGAAACUAGCGGGUUAGUUAGCUGCAGGAACUAGCAUCUUAGUUAGCUGCAGAAACUAGCAGGUUAGUUAGCUGCAGUUAGUUAGCUGCAGAAACUAGCGGGUUAGUUAGCUGCAGAAACUAGCGGGUUAGUUAGCUGCAGUUAGUUAGCUGCAGAAACUAGCAGGUUAGUUAGCUGCAGAAACUGGCAUCUUAGUUAGCUGCAGAAACUAGCGGGUUAGUUAGCUGCAGUUAGUUAGCUGCAGAAACUAGCAGGUUAGUUAGCUGCAGAAACUGGCAUCUUAGUUAGCUGCAGAAACUAGCGGGUUAGUUAGCUGCAGAAACUAGCGGGUUAGUUAGCUGCAGAAACUAGCAUCUUAAUUAGCUGCAGAAACUAGCAGGUUAGUUAGCUGCAGAAACUAGCAGGUUAGUUAGCUGCAGAAACUAGCAUCUUAAUUAGCUGCAGAAACUACCAGGUUAGUUAGCUGCAGAAACUAGCAUCUUAAUUAGCUGCAGAAACUAGCAGGUUAGCUAACUUAGCUAAUUUUAGAGCUGCACAAAUUUCUGGUUAUUUUUAAAGGUUUUUUAUUUUAUUUUAUUUUGUACAAGUUUGGCUGCUGCUAAGUAAAAAGUGAAAUACCAGCAACAAAUUCAUGCUAGCUUGCUAGCACUUACGUGACUAGCUGGCUAGUCGUUGUGGAUUGCAGGUGGAUGGGUGUGUUUUUAUGUUGCAUAUUCAUGUACUUUCGUAAAUCCUGCUGUGUUUUUUUAUUUUAUUUAUUUAUUUAUUUUAAACGAGGCUAAAGAUGUAGAGGUGUUGCUAGGUCCUUUCUUUUUCCACAGAAGUUAUUGGUGAAAAUUUGCACAUGCGUGCGUACUUCUAACUUUCAAAUGUGGCACAGUGAUGUUUCCUUAGGGUAUCCUUUGGUAUCCUAAUGAGAAAAUCAAUCAGUUCAGAGAAUCUUGUGCUCAGUGUGGUGGUGGUGGUAUUAAAUUUUGGCUUGGUUUCAUUUCUGAGCGCGGCGUCUUGGCGUCUCCCUCGUUACUGUACGAUUGCUUUUCUCCUCCACACGAGACAGCUGUUGUGUAAUACGCUGAAAUCCGCGGUAAUUACGGACACCGGGGACCUUUACUUUUGUUUCUCCGAAGCAUUGAGACACCUACACUAAUCUCGGCGUUUUCCCGCUAACACCGAGCUCCUUUUAGAUAAUUCGUUUAAGACGGGAAAGCUUUCGUUCCUCCCCCCCAGGUGCCAUGCUGAUUAUUUCAUUUUAGCAUGUGAUUCACCGGCAGCGUGGCGAUGAAGCAGGCGUAAAGUGAGUCACGUAUCCCACGAACAUCUGUGUGUUACAGUGAGCAACGUUCACUCCAGCACCUUCUGCAUCCUGACGUUUAUUUUUAGAAAGAUUAAACCUCCUGGGAGCCAGACCUUUGGAGGUGAUCCUAGAUUAUACAUAAAUCCGCAGGGAGAAGUCGUGGAGCGCCGAGGUCGAAGGUACCGUAUAGCGGGGUCUUGUAAAAUGAGCUCCGGUCUUCACACCUGUGACGGAUGAGCUCACAUAAACGUGAAGGUCCUGCGGUGGAAGGUUAAUCGGGGGAAAUUUGUAUUCUCUCUUGAAGCUAGAGCUCAGGUGCAGGUUUAUAAGCCAUCUGGAGCACAACAACACAGCACGCGGCAUCUGUUUCCUUUCUAGUCGCUUUACUGUAAUAUGAUGUGUGGUUGAACAGCCUCCCCAGGCCCCGGCGCUCCUUCUGGACUAAUGUCUCCUCUCUGUAGAGCGAUCUUUAAUUCCUAAUUAUGUGCCUUGCCUGAUGCCAGGAAAUUACAGAAUUAAAGUCGAGUUAAAGAACAUUACCAGCGUUCAAUUUACGUCAUUUUCGGCAGCAGUUAACUCGUAAAGUCGGAUCUGUCGGCUCUUGAUGUAUUAUGCAGUGACUGAUGUUUGGCUGCGUCGCAUUUAUUCUCUCCUUAAAACGACGAACGAUUGGCUUUAUAAACGAUCAGGAAGUACAACAGGGCGCACGGUGGCUUAGUGGUUCAUCUCACACCUCCAGGGUCGGGGG